rnacentral:sRNA from 1 species
CCGAUUGUUGUUCUCUUCUUUCUUUUUUUCUCACUCUUUACUUCAUUCACCAUACUACACAUCCCAUCCGUCCCUCCAUCUAUAUUCUACUAUCCUCCAACCGUUCAUGAUCCUGCCAUAAUUGGCCACACUCUCGUCACCAUCACUCUUCUUAAACGGCGGGAGUUUGCUAUAGCGGCGUUUGUCGUUAGCUCGGCUGCGGUACGACAUCUCAGCCAUAUUAUACCUUCCUUCUUUCCUACCUGUUUUGCUGUAGUAGACACAAGCCAUAAACUACUCAAAUCAGAUAUGACGAAACAACGAAGGUGGCCAGUAUACCGUUGGGAUAACCCCCCUUUCGUCACAAAACCAAGUAAUCCAUAGCUUUGGCAAAUCGAUCAUGGGUUUUUAGCCCUAUUAUUAUUAUAACGCCAGUCAUUCUACGAUUGAUCAGACAGUUAUGACGCUUCUUCCUUAGGUCCGAACAGCUCUGGCCAGCCUGUUGGAUCCAAUAUCGGACCUCCUCUCGGUUUUUUGGAAGACUUUUGCGACUUUGUUCUCGCUAUCGAUUUGCCACUAGGUACAGCUGAUUUGAAGCUUGGUGCAACAAAUGUACGAGGAGAUUGAGAAUCCUUUUGCGGUAGCUGGCCAACGAAUUCAUAAGGGUCAAACGGCUACAAUUCAUUCAGCGACACUCUAAAGUGGAAGAGAAGUAAUGUUGGUGUUGGCGAUGCAACCGGUGACAAAUCUCCGUACCCAUUGCUAAAAUUAUGGCUUGGCGGCUGGGAAGAAACAUUCUUUUGGCACACAUAUUAGUUUUCCUAACAGAUCUCGAAAAACACUCACCUCAAAGACAUAGCUAUCAACAGUUAUCACCCUUACGCUUCUUUCUUCCUCAUCUUUCUGUCUUUUCUUGUAUGAAAAGCUCUUAAAGGCCGAGCUAAGCCCGGCAAGACGGUUACUUAUAAGGCCAAAUUCCCCAGGACCGCCAGUGUCAGAUGGCUUCAGACCGACAUUGCUUUGGGUGUCGAUAAUCGACUGGAGACGGUGACGAUAGGUCAAAGGAUUGAGAAUAGAGAUAAGUGAUAAUGCGGGCAGGCAUUGCAUUAUGGUUCUGCCAAUGUUUCCUGGAGAAAAUGUUAGAUCCUUCAUGUUUGGCCACUAUAGACACAGGUAGCCUGGAUUCGUCAAUAAAACGUCAACCAUCCAUAAUAACAUUCGGCUUAGGCCUUUUUGCUCGCCAAACUGUUUGCAUUGCCUUACCAAAAAAUAGUUUCCUGUUUCGCUAAAUCAGCGCGAAGAUAUAGGUAACAGAUGUCUACGUACUUGAGCACCAUGUCGUGAGGUACAUUCCUGCCAAUAGUCCGGCCCAACAUUUAUACAAGGCACCGUGAACAAGAGCUCUGUCAAUUUCGAACCCGUUAUUGAUAUCUUGUCGGAGUGUUUAGCUGAAAGUGAGACAUACGACAAAACCAGCCCCCAUGAAGCCAGCACUCCCAAUGCCAGUGGACCACAGACAUAGAAUCUCGUGGCGCCAGAUAUCUGCCCCAUCUCUGUCAAUGACACUCCACAACUAUAAUCACCACCAAAAAUUCAGAAGUCGCAUACCUUCCACACUUUGCAAAUAGCGUGAAUUAACCCAGCGCCUCCCAAUGCUCCUGCAAUGCCGAAGAUUACCAAGUUGCUUAUAUUGUCUACUGCGGAAACAGUCAGGUAGUCAUCCGAUUCAGAUAUUAAUCUGUGAAUUUGGAUGCAUGCUAUUGCGAGGACAGCUCUGAAACGCAUCAUCUUUGUACCAAGGGUACUGGAUCUCUCAGUGAAUAGACCUCCAGAUAUCGCCGUGCUUGCGAGAUCAGGAUUCCUAACAAUAUACAUUGGAAAACAAGUCCCAAAACGGAGCACCACUGAUAAUUAGGAGUCGAAGAUAAAGCUUGCCAAAGGAGAAGAUUGAGGCAGAUUCUCGGUUUGACAGAAGAGGAAAACUCAAUUUUACAGAUGGCGUCUCUGGACUUACAUCAUCUAUCAAGCAUGAUUUUAUAAUUUUGAGCUGGUCAGCUACCCUUCAGCAAAGACCUACGCAGACUUCAAGGCCUAAGAAGUCUAUCUCGUUUACCGCGAUAAUGGGAGCGGUGUAGGGCUUUGCAUCGGCCAUUCCUCGGGAUUUUCUCCCUGUGUAAGACCAUACAUGAUCCGUCCAAAGUGUGGUUAUGGAGUGGUACUUGUGUAGGCCGUUUGUGUAGAGCCGGAACCACAUCCUUCCCAUCAACAUUCAGUAUUAACGAUUCAAGCAAGGAAGAAAGAAAAUAGGGGGAUAAUGGUUCAGAAUGCCAUAUGAGUUUGAGUAGGAGAAAGGGCGCAGGAUCCCUGAGGCCAAGGGGUAUCAGUAAAAUAAUAUAAUUUGCAGUUUGAUGGGAGAUGGGAGAUGAGAGAUCAGCCAAACUUUGAAGGCCGAAACCAAACUUCUACCGCAGGGCUCCAUCGUGGAUCGCUUUCUCACAUUGCUUGCAUGAAUAAACGUCAG